UUCUAGGUUCCAAAGAAGAUUUAAUUUGCCGGGUGUUGUAGGCUGCAUAGAUUGUACGCACGUGGCCAUUGUAAAGCCAGCCAGGGACGAGCACUUAUUUUUUAAUAGGAAAGGAUAUCAUUCCCUUAAUGUGCAAAUGAUUUGUGAUCACAAUCUUAAAAUACUAAAUGUGAAUGCCAAGUAUGGUGGAGCCACGCAUGACUCAUUUAUAUGGGCUUCCAGCCAAGUGGAGCCUUUCAUGCGUGAGCUUCACCGACGUGGGGAGCAAACGUGGCUUUUAGGUGAUUCAGGAUACCCGCAAAGAGCGUGGCUAAUGACGCCCGUUUUGAAUGCCGCUGCUGGA